GUAUGGUGACCUCCUGGGAACAGGUC
rnacentral:piRNA from 1 species